CCCGGAGUUUAUUAUAAAUUUCUUGACCCCCACUCCAACCGAAAUUAACUCUUUUAAACACAGAAAGAAAAAAUGACGUCUUAAAAAAUUAUCAUUGGAUUUAGGUCAAUAUAAAAAAAAAAAUUCUAAUCAAAGGUCUCGUUUUAAGAAUUAGAUUGAAAACAAGUUUUAAUCUCGAUGAUGCAACAAGUUAUAGAGUUUUGAAUUCUGAGAAUAAAAAUAUUUUUAUAAAAUCGCGGAAAAUCUCGGACGUAACAACCGUGAACUUUGACCAUUUGUGACAAUUUUAUAAAAAUUUGUUACUAUAAAUAUUGAGAUUUUUAACAAAUGUUACAUAUAAUCCAAGAAUACUUGCAUUAGUUGUUAGUUAUCAACUACUUGAAAAAAAAAUGAUGUCUAAAUUACUUUUAUUGGUUUUAUUAAUCGCACUACUGGCUAUUGGUGCAGACGCUUGCGGUGGUUUACGUGGAAGUUGUGGUUCAGGAAGAUCUUGCUGUGGCGGCUAUGUCUGCAGAGGCGGCUCUUGUGAUUUUGCAUCAUUUUAAAAACUAGAAAAAUGAAUUCAUUUUUUUUUUUUUUUGUAAAAAUAAAAAUAAUAAAUGAAAGUUAAACUUCUGAUUAAAAA